rnacentral:rRNA from 1 species
UACGUAGGGAGCAAGCGUUGUCCGGAAUCAUUGGGCGUAAAGGGCUCGUAGGCGGUCUGUCGCGUCGGGAGUGAAAACUCAGGGCUUAACCCUGAGCCUGCUUCCGAUACGGGCAGACUAGAGGUAUGCAGGGGAGAACGGAAUUCCUGGUGUAGCGGUGAAAUGCGCAGAUAUCAGGAGGAACACCGGUGGCGAAGGCGGUUCUCUGGGCAUUACCUGACGCUGAGGAGCGAAAGUGUGGGGAGCGAACAGG